AUUGAACGCUGGCGGCAGGCCUAACACAUGCAAGUCGAGCGGAUGAAGGGAGCUUGCUCCUGGAUUCAGCGGCGGACGGGUGAGUAAUGCCUAGGAAUCUGCCUGGUAGUGGGGGAUAACGUCCGGAAACGGGCGCUAAUACCGCAUACGUCCUGAGGGAGAAAGUGGGGGAUCUUCGGACCUCACGCUAUCAGAUGAGCCUAGGUCGGAUUAGCUAGUUGGUGGGGUAAAGGCCUACCAAGGCGACGAUCCGUAACUGGACUGAGAGGAUGAUCAGUCACACUGGAACUGAGACACGGUCCAGACUCCUACGGGAGGCAGCAGUGGGGAAUAUUGGACAAUGGGCGAAAGCCUGAUCCAGCCAUGCCGCGUGUGUGAAGAAGGUCUUCGGAUUUUAAAGCACUUUAAGUUGGGAGGAAGGGCAGUAAGUUAAUACCUUGCUGUUUUGACGUUACCAACAGAAUAAGCACCGGCUAACUUCGUG
rnacentral:rRNA from 1 species